CAGAUAGUAGUUUAAAUAAAAUUGUAAUUUUGGAGAUUAAGGAUAAAUUAUAUUUCUUUCUGA
rnacentral:tRNA from 1 species